GAGCAAUACCAGGCUGACACGCCCCACCACGGAGCUUCCCAAACCCAACAGGCAGGGGAAUCUCCGGCACAGUAGAGUUUCCUAGUGGGUAGGAUACCAGGACCCUGACUCAGCUCUAGGCAUCUCCCUGCAGCUUUUGCCUAGCCAGGAUACAUCCAAAGUACUCCAAGCUUGAAAGAGAGUAUGAGGCUGCACUCCCACCCCUCUGCCCAGGACCAAGGAGCAGAAAUGUGGCUAUUGCCUCUUGCAGCUCUUGUCUGUGCUGGAUCUGUGUCCCUACCCCUUAAACAGCCCUGAGUAGAGCUGUGUCACAAAACAGCAACUGUGGGUACCUUGGAACUGAAGUCCAUGGAGGAGUUGAGGCAUCGCUUUCUCAAAAGGAGCAACAACAUUCCAUUUACAUGUAACAGUGGCCUAGUGGGGAAGAAAAUCGAUAAGUAAAUGCACAUCACUUCUUGUGAGAAUAAAAUAGGCUUCAGCAGCCGGAGCAAUGAAAAGCUCUGUUGCAAACAUGAAUCCAUCCCUUGCUCUUCCUUCCUGCUUCCCCUGUGUGCAGUAAUUGAGGGGCCAAAGGGCAGCAGCAUCUUCCCCAUUUGUCACCCAGACGGGGAAAGUCCCAGCCCACGAAUGCUUUUUAAGGUUU
rnacentral:lncRNA from 1 species